GAGGUGAAUGUAAUGUAACCGUCGUGCAAGAGAUUGGUAGAUUAUAUCGAUUAUUUAAGAAGAUUACGUUCAAGUUGAAGAUCUAAUCCAGUUUGAUACGCAAAGCUAUGAAUACAGACUGCUGUUCCCGGGCCUUACUUUCCAACCGAGGCUGAUGCGAUAAUUUUUUAAUAACUUGAGGUUGCCCUUUUACGGGGAUGACCAGAGAAUUGUUUCUCUCAUUGGACCAGAUCAUCUCCUCCCAGAUCUUUUAUCAUAGGGCCGUCAUGCUGCUGAAGUUACCCCUCCGUGCUUUAUCAUCGCGGAUAGAACGUUCUCAACUCCCGAAAAGAUGUUCCCGCCUUCAGAAUGCGUAUUGCGUUCUUAGCCUCAACAAAAAGGUUUCGUUCCCGACAAUUAACAACAUCUGCGUCACCUGUCGCUCAAAGGGGAACAUACUUAAGUCUUUGUUUCAAUAUAGUUCGAG